rnacentral:misc_RNA from 1 species
AAAGAUCGCAGCCUUCGGCAGCUCCUACAGGAGAAUCGCAUUCACAAUGUAGGAGCUGCCGAAGGCUGCGAUCUUU